CAGCCGCCGCGGUAACACCGGCAGCCCAAGUGGUAGUCAUGUUUAGUGGGUCUAAAGCGUCCGUAGCCGGCUAUGUAAGUUCCUUGGGAAAUUUGAUCGCUUAACGAUCAAGCUACCGGGGAAUACUACCUGGCUUGGGACCGGGAGAGGUUAGAGGUACUUCAAGGGUAGGGCGCGAAAUCCGUUAAUCCUUGGGGGACCACCGGUAGCGAAGGCGUCUGACCAGACCGGAUCCGACGGUGAGGGACGAAGGCUAGGGGAGCGAACCGGAUUAGAUACCCGGGUAGUCCUAGCUGUAAACGAUGCGGGCCAGGUGUUGGCAUUACUGCGAGUGAUGCCAGUGCCGAAGGGAAGCCGUUAAGCCCGCCAUCUGGGGAGUACGGUCGCAAGGCUGAAACUUAAAGGAAUUGGCGGGGGAGCACA
rnacentral:rRNA from 1 species